UACAGAGGUCCCAAGCGUUGUUCGGAUUCACUGGGCGUAAAGGGUGCGUAGGUGGUUAGGUAAGUCCGAUGUGAAAUCUCCAGGCUCAACCUGGAAAUGGCAUUGGAUACUAUCUAGCUUGAGGAGUGGAGGGGGGACUGGAAUUCUCGGUGUAGCAGUGAAAUGCGUGGAUAUCGAGAGGAACACCAGUGGCGAAGGCGAGUCCCUAGACACUUCCUGACACUGAGGCACGAAAGCUAGGGGAGCAAACAGG
rnacentral:rRNA from 1 species